rnacentral:rRNA from 1 species
CAGUCGCCGCGGUAAUACGUAGGUGGCAAGCGUUAUCCGGAAUUAUUGGGCGUAAAGCGCGCGUAGGCGGUUUCUUAAGUCUGAUGUGAAAGCCCACGGCUCAACCGUGGAGGGUCAUUGGAAACUGGGAAACUUGAGUGCAGAAGAGGAAAGUGGAAUUCCAUGUGUAGCGGUGAAAUGCGCAGAGAUAUGGAGGAACACCAGUGGCGAAGGCGACUUUCUGGUCUGUAACUGACGCUGAUGUGCGAAAGCGUGGGGAUCAAACAGGAUUAGAUACCCCAGUAGUUCCUGUCUCUUAUAC